AUUGAACGCUGGCGGCAUGCUUUACACAUGCAAGUCGGACGGCAGCACCGAGCAGCUUGCUUCUUGGCUGGCGAGUGGCGGACGGGUGAGUAAUAUAUCGGCACGUCCUGAGUAAUGGGUGAUUUCUAAUCGAAAGGUCAGCUAAUACCGCAUAUUCCCUGCUGCGUAAAGCAGGUUAGCUUCGGUCGUUGCGUUAUUCGAGCCGCCGAUAUCUGAUUAGCUAGGUGGUGGGGUAAAGUCCUACCAAGGCGACGAUCAGUAGCGGAUCUGAGAGGAUGAUCCGCCACCGGGGAGCUGAGACAGGGCCCAGACUCCUGCGGGAGGCAGCAGUGGGGAAUUUUAGACAAUGGGCGCAAGCAUGAUCCAGCCAUGCCGCGUGUGUGGAGAAGGCCUUCGGGUUGUAAAGGACGUUUGUCAGGGAAGAAAAGGCUGUUGCUAAGAUCGACAGCUGAUGACGGUACCUGAAGAAUAAGCACCGGCUAACUACGUG
rnacentral:rRNA from 1 species